rnacentral:rRNA from 1 species
GAUCAUGGCUCAGAGUGAACGCUGGCGGCAGGCCUAAUACAUGCAAGUCGAACGGCAGCACAGCAGAGCUUGCUCUGUGGGUGGCGAGUGGCGGACGGGUGAGGAAUACAUGGGAAUCUGCCCAGUCGUGGGGAUAACGUAGGGAAACUUACGCUAAUACCGCAUGCGCCCUUCGGGGGAAAGCCGGGGACCUUCGGGCCUGGCGCGAUUGGAUGAGCCCAUGUCGGAUUAGCUAGUUGGCGGGGUAAUGGCCCACCAAGGCGACGAUCCGUAGCUGGUCUGAGAGGAUGAUCAGCCACACUGGAACUGAGACACGGUCCAGACUCCUACGGGAGGCAGCAGUAGGGAAUAUUGGACAAUGGGCGCAAGCCUGAUCCAGCCAUGCCGCGUGAGUGAAGAAGGCCCUCGGGUUGUAAAGCUCUUUUGUCCGGAAAGAAAAGCGCCGGGUUAAUACCCUAGUGUCCUGACGGUACCGGAAGAAUAAGCACCGGCUAACUUCGUG